rnacentral:rRNA from 1 species
GCGCGAAAACUUUACAAUGCUGGCAACAGCGAUAAGGGAACCUCGAGUGCCAGGUUACAAAUCUGGCUGUCGAGAUGCCUAAAAAGCAUUUCAUAGCAAGGGCCGGGCAAGACCGGUGCCAGCCGCCGCGGUAACACCGGCGGCUCGAGUGGUAACCGUUAUUAUUGGGUCUAAAGGGUCUGUAGCCGGCCGGAUAAGUCUCUUGAGAAAUCUGGCAGCUUAACUGUCAGGCUUUCAGGAGAUACUGUCUGGCUCGAGGCCGGGAGAGGUGAGAGGUACUUCAGGGGUAGGGGUGAAAUCUUGUAAUCCUUGAAGGACCACCAGUGGCGAAGGCGUCUCACCAGAACGGACCUGACGGUAAGGGACGAAAGCUAAGGGCACGAACCG